AAUAGUAAAUACUUAGAAAUAGUAUUUAGGGAUUUAAGACCUCCUAGAAGAACUCUAUCCCUCUCAUUUCAUUGUUAACCUAUGAAUAUAUAGCAAGAAAGGUUUAAUCAUUUAAAAAAAAUCAGAAAGAAGAAAAGAAAUCAUCUUUGAUAAUCUUUGCUUGAAAAAAUUCAUUUUCAAGCUCCUUUCCAAAAUCUUUUCAUAGAAAAACAUUGUCAAAACUUUGGUUUUAGUCAUCAAGAAAAUCGUCUUUGAAGGAAGAAAACAGAAAAAAGGAAAGGAAAUAUAUAAAUAAUGGAAGAAGCUAAAAAAAUUGUUGCAACUUUCACCUCAACAACAAUAUUUUUCAUGUUGAUGAUCAAUAUAAUUCACUUAAACGUUGCGGUAGGAUUACCACACAAAAAAAUUGUUGUCAUAACCAAUAAUCAUACAAAUUAUCUUAGCGUCCGUUGCUUCUCCUUUGAAGAUGAUGGCAAUGUUAAGCACCUAAGUACCAUGGGCAGUUUCAAUAUUACUGUCAAAGUCAAAAACUUCUUCUCCUCUUCAACAAUGUACAAUUGCUCCACAAACAUGGGUACAUUUGUUGCAUUUAAAUAUGACUAUGGGUGUGUUAGCCGUUCAACGCCUUGUGAAUGGAGAUUUGAUGAGAACUUCACUUAUCGCUAUAGUCCCAAAGAGCAAAAGUGGGUUGCUCAUGAAUACAAUCCAAAUUAUGAGUCACUUACUAGAGGAGGCGUCAUCAAAGGAUAUUAUGUUAACUAACUAUGACAUUGAAAAAAAUUCAAUGUGACAAAUGGUUGAAUUUGUGGAGAUCCUCUUUUUUUGGGUGGGGUGGGGUGGGGUGGAGGAGGGGGGGGGCAGGGACACUCAAAAGCUUCAUGGAUAGCUUCCUCAUUUCUUUUUUGUUGACUAGAUGCAUAUCAUGCAUAUUAUUCGAUUCAGAGGAAAAGCUUAAAUAUGCUAUUGAUCAAUUCUGAGGGAAAAUAUUUAUUUAUGUCAUUUGUUAAAGUUUGGCUCAUUUAUGGAUAUGAUUUUCGUCUCAGAAAAAACUCAUUCAUGUUAUUAUUUGUUAAUUAAAUCCGACUAAUGACCUUGUGAAUGGAA